AUUGUGAUCUUCAGGUGCAAGAAAACAGCACCUACCACUCGCGACUAUCAGCUGACAACAUUGGAGAGGGUGCGAGUGUUAAAAGGAGCAUGUCAAGAUCCGACUUUCGAUCUGAGAAUGAUGCUGAUUCAAGCAAGAAAACAAUUCGGAGCUUCACACAACGCGACGCGUUUCCAGGAAUAGGCGGUUAGGGUUGAAAGGACAAUGUCGGAAGUGGUCGGAGGGUUGGAUAUGCAAGCGCAUGCGUUUCAUUUCGCAUUCAUACCUACGAGGGACCGUCAAUCGAUGGGAUUGCAUAAAACUGCGGACUCAGACUGGAAUUAGGAUUUCACAAAAAUUGGAACUGUUUCACGUUCUAAGGGACGAUAACAAACUGCACAGAUGCAACGAAUUGCUGUUUGGUUGUUAAAAAGAAACUCGCUCUCUCAAAAAAUCGAAGAAUGCCUAGUGCAGAGGGAUGGUCACAAAUAAUUAAUAAUUUUUUUUGGUCAGCCGAUGAACAAUGUUGACAUUGUAA